GGGGACGUUUAGGUGGUGGGAACGAAAGGUCUAAAGUUCCUCACUAACUUGUGAGGAUCUUUACCGUGCGGUGGUUAUUUAUCCGUGGUCUUUGCUUGGCCGGAAGCCUUAUGCAUUCGCGAGAACCGCCUCUGCGCAUGGAUACGUGGUUUCGUUCUGUAGUACUGUCUAUAAGCAAUGUAGUAACGACUUGCCCGAUCAUGAACACCGUGUGUUAUGCUAUUUGUGGAUGUAUGCCGUACGUGUAUGUCUGGGUGUCUACCGACCUGGGAAAGUCGGGGAAUUGGGGCCUUGCUGGAAAACUGCAGGAACUUUGGUAAAACCUGGCUAAUUCAUGGAAACUGGCGGCAGUCUGUGCCACCAUCACAAAAAUAAGCAUUACCGUUGAUCAAUACUCAAAAAGUCACUCCUUCGACUGCAACUACAGUGAACAGCUAGAAGAGGCCUAAAAAAAGGCAAUGCAUAACUGUUUCUUCUUAGUGUACAAACAAAAGGAUACACCGACCAAAAUAACACAAAGUUUACAGA